GCUGAAGGAAAGUGAACGACACUUGCAGGAUACCACAGGGCCAAUUCUCGGAGGUCGCGUGGGAAAUCCAUCGAGAUAGGGACUGAUUAGCCCGCCAAUAGGCGAUGAUGCCCCGAAAUAAAGUAUGUUGGAUGCGCUCGGAGAAAGUUGCAUGGCAAUGCUUUCGGACAGGGGUUCGACUCCCCUCAUCUCCACCA
rnacentral:tmRNA from 1 species